rnacentral:sRNA from 1 species
UUUAUAUUAGUAACUGCCAAAGACAGCAGGUGCCGUAAGGCAUAAGUUGAAAACGCCUGCCGAGGAUGAGUGAAAUUCUUGUAAGGAAUUUAGAGCCUUCUGUGUCUUUGUGCGCAGAGGGUUUUUGUUUUUAU